rnacentral:rRNA from 1 species
UACGUAGGGUGCGAGCGUUGUCCGGAAUUAUUGGGCGUAAAGAGCUCGUAGGCGGUCUGUCACGUCGGCUGUGAAAACCCGGGGCUCAACCCCGGGCCUGCAGUCGAUACGGGCAGACUAGAGUGCGGUAGGGGAGACUGGAAUUCCUGGUGUAGCGGUGAAAUGCGCAGAUAUCAGGAGGAACACCGGUGGCGAAGGCGGGUCUCUGGGCCGUAACUGACGCUGAGGAGCGAAAGCGUGGGGAGCGAACAGG